AUUGAACGCUGGCGGCAUGCCUUACACAUGCAAGUCGAACGGCAGCACGGGAGCGAAUCCUGGUGGCGAGUGGCGAACGGGUGAGUAAUAUAUCGGAACGUGCCCAGUCGUGGGGAUAACGUAGCGAAAGCUACGCUAAUACCGCAUACGAUCUAUGGAUGAAAGCGGGGGAUCGCAAGACCUCGCGCGAUUGGAGCGGCCGAUAUCAGAUUAGGUAGUUGGUGAGGUAAAGGCGUCACCAAGCCGACGAUCUGUAGCUGGUCUGAGAGGACGACCAGCCACACU
rnacentral:rRNA from 1 species